AAACUUUCAACAACGGAUCUCUUGGCUCUCGCAUCGAUGAAGAACGCAGCGAAAUGUGAUAAGUAAUGUGAAUUGCAGAAUUCAGUGAAUCAUCGAAUCUUUGAACGCACCUUGCGCUCUCUGGUAUUCCGGAGAGCAUGUCUGUUUGAGUGUCAUGA
rnacentral:rRNA from 2 species